GAUGAACGCUGGCGGCGUGCCUAAUACAUGCAAGUCGAGCGAACAGACGAGGAGCUUGCUCCUCUGACGUUAGCGGCGGACGGGUGAGUAACACGUGGAUAACCUACCUAUAAGACUGGGAUAACUUCGGGAAACCGGAGCUAAUACCGGAUAAUAUAUUGAACCGCAUGGUUCAAUAGUGAAAGACGGUUUUGCUGUCACUUAUAGAUGGAUCCGCGCCGCAUUAGCUAGUUGGUAAGGUAACGGCUUACCAAGGCAACGAUGCGUAGCCGACCUGAGAGGGUGAUCGGCCACACUGGAACUGAGACACGGUCCAGACUCCUACGGGAGGCAGCAGUAGGGAAUCUUCCGCAAUGGGCGAAAGCUUGACGGACCAACGCCGCGUGAGUGAUGAAGGUCUUCGGAUCGUAAAACUCUGUUAUUAGGGAAGAACAAAUGUGUAAGUAACUAUGCACGUCUUGACGGUACCUAAUCAGAAAGCCACGGCUAACUACGUG
rnacentral:rRNA from 1 species